rnacentral:rRNA from 1 species
GACGAACGCUGGCGGCGUGCUUAACACAUGCAAGUCGAACGGAAAGGCCCUGCUUUUGUGGGGUGCUCGAGUGGCGAACGGGUGAGUAACACGUGAGUAACCUGCCCUUGACUUUGGGAUAACUUCAGGAAACUGGGGCUAAUACCGGAUAGGAGCUCCUGCUGCAUGGUGGGGGUUGGAAAGUUUCGGCGGUUGGGGAUGGACUCGCGGCUUAUCAGCUUGUUGGUGGGGUAGUGGCUUACCAAGGCUUUGACGGGUAGCCGGCCUGAGAGGGUGACCGGCCACAUUGGGACUGAGAUGCGGCCCAGACUCCUACGGGAGGCAGCGGUGGGGAAUAUUGCACAAUGGGCGGAAGCCUGAUGCAGCAACGCCGCGUGGGGGAUGACGGCCUUCGGGUUGUAAACCGCUUUCGCCUGUGACGAAGCGUGAGUGACGGUAAUGGGUAAAGAAGCACCGGCUAACUACGUG